rnacentral:rRNA from 1 species
GGAUGAACGCUGGCGGCGUGCCUAACACCUGCAAGUCGAACGGAGUCCAGCCUUUAAGACCUUCGGGUCAAAGAGGGGAAGACUGAGUGGCGGACGGGUGAGUAACACGUGGGCAACCUGGCUCAUAGAGGGGGAUAACAGAGAGAAAUUUCUGCUAAUACCGCAUAAGCACACACUGCCGCAUGGCAGAGGGUGAAAAGAGAAUCGCUAUGAGAUGGACCCGCGUCUGAUUAGCCAGUUGGCAGGGUAAGAGCCUACCAAAGCGACGAUCAGUAGCCGAUCUGAGAGGAUGAACGGCCACAUUGGGACUGAGACACGGCCCAAACUCCUACGGGAGGCAGCAGUGGGGGAUAUUGCACAAUGGGGGGAACCCUGAUGCAGCGACGCCGCGUGAGUGAAGAAGUAUUUCGGUAUGUAAAGCUCUAUCAGCAGGGAAGAUAAUGACAGUACCUGAAGAAGAAGCCCCGGCUAACUACGUG